rnacentral:tRNA from 3 species
GGGGCGGUAGGCUAAUUGGUAAACCUUUCGGCUAUCACCCGAAUAAUGCGGGUUCGAUCCCCGUCCGCUCCACCG